rnacentral:rRNA from 1 species
UACGAAGGGGGCUAGCGUUGCUCGGAAUCACUGGGCGUAAAGGGUGCGUAGGCGGGUCUUUAAGUCAGGGGUGAAAUCCUGGAGCUCAACUCCAGAACUGCCUUUGAUACUGAAGAUCUUGAGUUCGGAGAGGUGAGUGGAACUGCGAGUGUAGAGGUGAAAUUCGUAGAUAUUCGCAAGAACACCAGUGGCGAAGGCGGCUCACUGGCCCGAUACUGACGCUGAGGCACGAAAGCGUGGGGAGCAAACAGG